CAGAUUGUAAAGUUUUUCUCUCCCAGUUUCUUCAUUUCUGCUUGGUAACAGCAAGAAAAUAGAUGCAACUACUAGGAAUCCGGGCUUCCACCAGCAGACUUGUCAGAGGGGCCCAAUGGCAUCUCUGGAUUCCUUACAGAUCCUUCCUAUCUUGGUCUAACAAGAGAAAGAUUAUUGGAGCCAGCCACUUACUAUGUCCCCAUCAGUGGAGUUGCACCUUACCCUGGCAGCUGAAAGAGGGAUUGGAUCUCUGAGUUUCCAGUGAACAGAACCUCAUUGGUCAAUUAUUAGUUCGAAUUCCAGUUUUUAUAAGAUUGGUUGCACAGUGUUUGGACCAUGUUGCACAAUAUUUCCAUUCAUUUGUAUGGAAUUAAGUCAUUUUCUAGGCUCUUCUUCACUUCAGAGGCUUGCUGAAGAAC